AACGAACGCUGGCGGCGCGGAUAAGACAUGCAAGUCGAACGGGAUUUUUUCCUGUAGCAAUACAGGAAAAAGUCUAGUGGCGAACGGGUGCGUAACACGUGAGCAACCUGCCGUGAAGUGGGGGAUAGCUCGCCGAAAGGCGAAUUAAUACCGCAUGUGGCCAAGGAAGACAUCUUCCUGACGCCAAAGCCGGGGCAACCUGGCGCUUCUCGAGGGGCCCGCAGCCUAUCAGCUUGUUGGUGAGGUAACGGCUCACCAAGGCUAUGACGGGUAGCUGGACUGAGAGGACGACCAGCCACACUGGAACUGAGACACGGUCCAGACACCUACGGGUGGCAGCAGUCGAGAAUUCUUCACAAUGGGGGAAACCCUGAUGGAGCGACGCCGCGUGGAGGAUGAAGGUUUUCGGAUUGUAAACUCCUGUCAUUAGAGAACAAGGCACACGGUUUAACUGGCCGUGUGUUGAUAGUAUCUGAAGAGGAAGAGACGGCUAACUCUGUGCCAGCAGCCGCGGUAA
rnacentral:rRNA from 1 species